ACACUUAGCGAGUGCAAAACAAACCAUCUGUUUAUUUUGUCAACGAAGUAUGUGGACAUGCGAAAAUUAAUUUCAGUUAUAUUGCGCGGCAUUGCUUAGGAUUUAAUUUUGUUGCAAAAUAAUAGUAAAGAAUAUUAAAAGUAUCCGAUACGUUACUGUGUUGUAUAACGGAAUGCCUGCGGUAAGCAGACUUCGGCAACUGGAUCUUAACGUCACGAGAAGUUUAGAGGAACUUACUGAAUUGAAGGAGACUUUACAUAAGCAACUGAUUAGUUUGCAGGUAAUGGAAUUGAGUGCGAGAGCUGCUCUUCGAAAAUGUGAGCUUGAAGAAAAAAAAGCAAAAGAAUGUGAAAUGGACCUAAACAGACCACAGUCAUCUUUAUCUGCAAUAUCUUCAUCUUCAGUACGUUCAUCUCCUUAUGUAGUACAUUCAUCUACAUCUAAUGCACGUCCAUCUACAUCUGAUGUACGUCCAUCUACAUCUGGUGUACAUUCAUCUACAUCUGGAGUACAUCCAUCUACAUCUGGAGUUUAUUCAUCGUUUGAAUCACGUCAACUUAGUCCAGCAAGAUUAUCUGAUGAUGAUUCACUUGUUUGUCUGGAACCUUUGGAUUUGAAUUUUCAAAAACCUUAUUGCGAGGAGAUAUUUGUUGAAAGUGAAGAUGAAGAGUUUUGAAUUUUCCUAAAAUACAGCAUUCUGUAUUAAAGAAGUCAAUGAUGAUACACAUUAUCUAAUUCAGUUUCGAAACCCGCUUUUUCAAGUAAUAUGAUCAAAGAUAUCCUUACCAAAAUCUCUCUUCUAUAUUCAAUGAAAUCCACAGCUCCCUCGGAUUCUACAAGGAUAUAUUUUUUGUUUGAAUUGCAUGUACUUCCUGUUCUAGUACAUGUAUGUUUCAAGACUUCAUC